GAUGAACGCUGGCGGCGUGCCUAAUACAUGCAAGUCGAGCGAACAGACGAGGAGCUUGCUCCUCUGACGUUAGCGGCGGACGGGUGAGUAACACGUGGAUAACCUACCUAUAAGACUGGGAUAACUUCGGGAAACCGGAGCUAAUACCGGAUAAUAUAUUGAACCGCAUGGUUCAAUAGUGAAAGACGGUUUUGCUGUCACUUAUAGAUGGAUCCGCGCCGCAUUAGCUGGUUGGUAAGGUAACGGCUUACCAAGGCAACGAUGCGUAGCCGACCUGAGAGGGUGAUCGGCCACACUGGAACUGAGACACGGUCCAGACUCCUACGGGAGGCAGCAGUAGGGAAUCUUCCGCAAUGGGCGAAAGCCUGACGGAGCAACGCCGCGUGAGUGAUGAAGGUCUUCGGAUCGUAAAACUCUGUUAUUAGGGAAGAACAAAUGUGUAAGUAACUAUGCACGUCUUGACGGUACCUAAGCAGAAAGCCACGGCUAACUACGU
rnacentral:rRNA from 1 species